UUGCUCGGCUAACUGAGGAGGACUUUAGGAAAGCUGAGGACUUCAUCAGCCUAAUGACGGUGCUCUACACGUCAACACUCUGCGUGUCUUCCGAAAAGAGUCCCACAUGCGGACAGAUUCUGCCUAUCCUCAAAAAGCUUGAGGCACACCUGGCUGUAAAAGAUGCAGACACAGUCUUUGUGUCAAACCUCAAAAAACAGGUUUGGGCAAACCUAUCCAAGCGCUAACAGAAUGAUGAGAUCAGGGCCUUUCUCCAGCUGGCCAGUGCGUUGGAUCCACGCUUUAAACAGAAAUUGGAUGAUGACACCAUCUGGGACCAGAUCAAGAGAAAGCUGAUUGAACAGGAAAAAUGUCAUUCAUGCACAACUGUUCUUUUCAGCAAUUAAAAUCUAAGAUCUAAACGCUAAUUAUGUUCUUUGUAGUCAACAGAGGAAGUCUGUGGAGCUGAUGGGGACACAACGCAGUCUGAGAAUGAAGCAAAUGAGGAGAACGAGGAUGAGCAGGAGAGUCAACAGCCUCCCUGCAAACUGCCCAAGAAGACUCCCUUGGAGGAGCUGUUUGCUGAGGAAGAGGCACAGAGCAGUGUCACAGCAGAGCUCCAUGUCCAUCAAGAAACAAGUGGAGAGAGAGCUGCAGAUGUACAAGGAAGUUCCACCGAUACCUAUGUCUGACAACCCUGCUGCAUGGUGGUGGAACCAACAAAAGACUUAUCCUUUGCUGUCAGAUCUCGCUUUCUCCUAUUUAUGCGUUCAAGCUUCUUCCACAGACAGCGAACGUGUAUUUUCCACAGCAGGAGACACUAUCUGUCCAGAACGCUCACGCAUCCUGCCUGAGAAGGCGGAAAUGGUCAUUUUCCUAAACAAGAACUGUCUCUGAUUUUGUAAAUGUGUUUUCAUAAGGUUUUCAAAAAUAA